rnacentral:rRNA from 1 species
AUUGAACGCUGGCGGCAGGCCUAAUACAUGCAAGUCGGACGGUAACAUAAGAAAAGCUUGCUUUUCUUGAUGACGAGUGGCGGACGGGUGAGUAAGAUUUGGGAAACUACCUGAUAGAGGGGGACAACAGUUGGAAACGACUGCUAAUACCGCAUACAGCCUUAGGGUGAAAGAAGAAAUUCGCUAUCAGAUGUGCCCAAAGGGAUUAGCUAGUAGGUGAGGUAAAGGCUCACCUAGGCGACGAUCUCUAGCUGGUCUGAGAGGAUGAUCAGCCACAUUUGGGACUGAGACACGGCCCAGACUCC